rnacentral:lncRNA from 1 species
GUAUGUUCCUAGCUUAGUAAGUGAGUCUCUUUUAUCAAUGAACUAUGCAUUUUUCUAUCUGAUGUCUUUGUGCUGGUUUCCAGGAUCAUUUAAGAAAAUGAACUCAUAAUAACAUAUGGUAGCUGACUUCAGUAUGGAUUUUCCACUGCAUUGAUCAACUCAGUGAAAUUCUCUUACAUAAAUACAAAUGUUCACAAGACAAAGAUAUCCGUCCAGCAUGGAUGUUGUUCAGAAAGAGGAAAGGAAAAUCCUGCUUUCCACUUGGUGUCGGCUGUAUGCACUUCUCUCAGUCCUCUUGGACGCCGUUGGAUCGCAAUCCAUAGCAUAUUUUACAAAUGAAGAGCAUACGUAAAGAGAGAAGUCUAACAGAUGGCUCCGGGAAAUGCGUAAUAAAUGAAAAGAAACAACAGUGCGCCUUACUAAAACUGAGCAAAGCAGCCUUGGAGGGUGUUGCUGUUUGCCGCAGUCUGAGGACCUGAAGCACAGCUCUUUGCAGCAGACGGAUGGAGUGAUAAAUGGCUGAGCAAAUGCAAAGGCCAUGGGAGAAAUACUCUGAACGUUCUCAUGAGAUAUAUUGUAUUUUAGUUUUUUAGACCUUUCUUAAGUCUAAGGAAUGAAAAAUAUAAUACGCCACAGUCACCAACACAUUUAAAAGACAAGAAAUCGUGUCUAACAAAACAAUUUUUAAAAUGCUGUAGAUCCUUUUGAAGGAAACAGCACUGAACCCAGUUGAAGGUGAAGAUGAUAGAUGUAUGACAUUAGAUUUUUGGCAUUGAAAUUAAGGAAUACAAUAAAAUCAAUAUUGAGAAAUGAUAAGAAAGCAAAGGACAGACAAAGGCCAGAACCUCCUAAACAAUUUUCGUC